GUCUUAAUAGCCUUACGGACUGUGUAUGUAUAGUGAG
rfam:Porphyromonas gingivalis W83, complete genome.